GGAGAAAAGCAGGGGAUCGCAAGACCUUGCGCUAAAGGAGCGGCUGAUGUCUGAUUAGCUAGUUGGUGAGGUAAAGGCUCACCAAGGCAACGAUCAGUAGUUGGUCUGAGAGGACGGCCAACCACACUGGGACUGAGACACGGCCCAGACUCCUACGGGAGGCAGCAGUGGGGAAUUUUGGACAAUGGGGGAAACCCUGAUCCAGCCAUGCCGCGUGAGUGAAGAAGGCCUUCGGGUUGUAAAGCUCUUCCAGCCGGAACGAAACGGUUACGGUUAAUACCCGUGACUACUGACGGUACCGGAAGAAGAAGCACCGGCUAACUACGUGCCAGCAGCCGCGGUAAUACGUAGGGUGCGAGCGUUAAUCGGAAUUACUGGGCGUAAAGGGUGCGCAGGCGGUCUUGCAAGUCAGAUGUGAAAGCCCCGGGCUUAACCUGGGAAUUGCGUUUGAAACUACAAAGCUAG
rnacentral:rRNA from 1 species